GAACAUUACCCCACCCAGCUUUCUGUCAGUGAAAUUUAGGAGAGCAUUUUGCUGCAGGAUCAUCAUCCUGAAACUCAAAAGAGUUAAAGCAGACAGUAAAGCUGAAGAUAUUGGGUACAUAGGUAAAGGAAAGAAAGAUUUCUCUUAGGUACAUGAUCUUUCAGAUCUGGCACCUGGACAGACAAGGGAAUCUGGGUAAGGAAUAGAGACAGACUAUGGAUACCAGAGAACAUUAAGAAGUGCUAGGUAAAAAAGGAACAGGAGUUGAGGCUGGUAGGAAAAAGAGAAGACGCUGAAAAAGCAAGGCCAAAGGGGUAGGAAAGCAGAAAAGGAUGGAAGGAGAGGUGCCUGGCUAGCUCAGUUGCUGGAGCAUGUGACUCUUGAUCUUAGGGUCGUGAGUUUGAGCCCCAUGCUAGAGGUAGAGAUUACUUAAGGAAAAAAAAAAUUUUUUUUUUUUAAAGGAUGGAAGGAAAUUCAAGAAAUUUAUCAUUAAACAACAACAGUAACAAAUCCCCUCACAAAUGUCAACUAUUGGAGAUGGGCUAAAAAUGACACAUGGUACAUCUUUUUUUUUUCCUUUUCCAAAUUUUUAUUUAAAUUCUAGUUGACAUAUAGUACAUGGUACAUCCUUAUGAUGUACUAUUUGCUAUUAAAAAUGUUUCUCGGGAUAGGAGGAAGACUUAGUUUUCACUUUGCCUCUUUUAAACUCGUUAAAUGUUAAAGCCUUAUGCAUCAACAUAUCUAAGGGUGCACAUCAGGUUAUUAAGACAGUGUUAGAGGACUCUGAGUUUCUCAAACUUUGAGGAAUAAGUAAAGGAAUAUCACAUCUAAAAACUAAAAAAACGGAAUUUCCCUAAAACCAGAUAGAUAAUUAAAUAAUUUCAAGGGAGUAGCUGAGGAUAUUGUCAGAGGGUAAAGAAAAAGAUCCCUGUGAGAGGUGGCUAUCAGUUCUCUGGACAGACUGAACCCUAACUUAGUCUUCUUUCCACGUUGAGAAGAAAGUUCAACUGAUUUCUUGAGCUUCUGUGUCCAUGUUUUCAUUGCCCAGCUUUAGCAAGAAUCCUGCUAAGUGAGGUUAGCCAAAAGCUGUCACCCUCAGUAUCUGGUCAGGUUCCUCAUCCUGCACCAUCCUCCAAUGAUGACCUAUCACCCUGGCAUGCCUUUAGCAAGAAUCUCUUAUCAUCUCUGAUGUUUCCUACAUAAUAUUCCACCCAGUAACCACCUUUGCUCAUUAGCUGUGAAUUCCCACUAUUCCUUGUUGUAUUCAGAGUUGAGCUCAGUCUUUGUACCCUGCUGCAAAAUCCUAUUGUAGUGGUCCCUACACCUACCGCAAAGGUCCUGGGUAAAGUCGGCCUUCCCAUUCUUUAGCAAGGGUCAUGAAUGAUUUUUUCUUUAACAUCCUGUCAUGGCUGUAAAUCUACCAUGUCAAAAGCUGUCUUACUAAGGUAUACAAAUUUAUGUAUUCACACACACACAGUGUAUAUGUGUAAAGACAGUUAUAAAAAAUCAGUUAACACCUUUUUUCAUAACUAUUGAGGAACUAAUAAUUUUUGUAUGCUCAAAUUUUUUCCCAAAUAUAUAUAUAUAUAAAUUCUUUAUAGUUUAAAUAUGGGACACCUGGAUGGCUUAGCAGUUGAGUGUCUGCCUUUGGCUCAGAUCCUGAUCCUGAGAUCUGGGCUCGAGUCCCGCAUCAGGCUCCCUGCAUGGAGCCUGCUUCUCCCUCUGCCUGUGUCUCUGCCUCUCUGUCUCUGUCUCAUGAAUAUAUAAAAUAAAAUCUUAAAAAAAGAGAAAUUUAUAGUUUAUAUAUAGUUUAACUUGACCCAGUGCCAAAAAGUUCCAUUCAGAUUUGAUGUAAAAGACAUAGAAUCAUGGCUACCACCUUGACAAAUGCCACUGGCCCUGUAAGUGGUGGUGUUUGGAUAAGAAGUCCAGAUGGAAUGAUAAUAUCUGAAGUUGUUCUUGUGCCAAGGAAAAAAAAGGUCGUGCCAAGGUUAGUUCAGGAUUGUAAACAAGGCAAAUAGAAUAGGUUCAUAUUUAUAAAGACCCAUCUAAAAAAUAUCUUUAGGAUAAAAGAAAUAGAAUUAUCUGUAUAAAAUGAUUUUAUCCUUUAUAACUCAUCC
rnacentral:lncRNA from 1 species